CACUAUCCAGACUAGGACACCAUGCUCCUUCAAAUCAAGGCUCGAGGCUGCUACUGUCGCAGAUAGUAGCCCUGCACAACCAGACCUCUCUGUGACAACAGGUCUUAGUGACAUUGCUGUGGAUGGUACGCUUGAGGAAUUUUUAUUUUGGUGAUAGAAUGCAGAGCACUGAGUAGCAAAAUCAUCCUUUGUGUACAAUGUGUCAACAUAAAACAUGUUCUUUUCAUUUAGUGGACACCUUAAUGCUAGGCUUCCCAUCAGAAUCGCAAGCAUAUCGGAGUCCUCAAGCCUCUCCAAAUGUGUCACAGUCACUUGUAGCACCUGCGCCCACACACAGCACACCAAAAGCCAGGACCCAGACGUCCACGGAGUCAUACAAAUCACGGCUUGCAGCAGCUAUUGCCA
rnacentral:lncRNA from 1 species